rnacentral:rRNA from 1 species
UACGUAGGGUGCAAGCGUUAAUCGGAAUUACUGGGCGUAAAGCGUGCGCAGGCGGUAAUGUAAGACAGGUGUGAAAUCCCCGGGCUUAACCUGGGAACUGCAUUUGUGACUGCAUUGCUGGAGUGCGGCAGAGGGGAUGGAAUUCCGGCGUGUAGCAGUGAAAUGCGUAGAUAUGCGGAGGAACACCGAUGGCGAAGGACAAUCC